rnacentral:lncRNA from 1 species
AAAAUGUUGAAAAUAAGGACUCACUUUAGUAAGCUAUUUCUGCAAAAGUAUCUAAGUUGAUUCUUGCUAAAGCCUCUCCUUGAUUCCUAUUUAUCCAGCAUACCCUUGAGAGUCUUUUCUUUAGUCGGGUAAGUCUUGCUGAGUAAUUCCAUACUCAGGGCUUUAUUCCCUGUUGUUUUUCAGGAUAUAACUUUGUGCUGCUGUGAUCGUGUUAAGUGCCGGUGGGCUCGGCCUUCUUAUAUAAGUAUACCCCGUCUUUAUCUUCUUAUUGAGGAUGGUCACUUGAGCUAACAUAUAUUUCAAACUUAUACUUUUGUAAUCACUCCGAUAAACUAAUGUGAAAUUUUUGUAACCUGUAAAAUUUGGUAGUAAGAUUUCCGCUGCAACAAUAUUGGUGUGUGUGAUUUGUGUUACUUAAUCCCGCGGUUCUGGUUGUAAGUGGUUUAUCUGAGGUCCUUGGGGCACUCGGACGGAUCCUGUUAAGUUAUUUGGUGCACAUGCAUAGCCGUCUGAGGUCUUUGAGACAAAGACAGGUGCAUGUGGGCCCAAUAACUUGGGAGGUUCUGCCACAGCUGGUAUCGGAGCAGGAUUAAGUAAAU